rnacentral:rRNA from 1 species
UACGUAGGUGGCAAGCGUUGUCCGGAUUUACUGGGCGUAAAGAGCGCGCAGGCGGUCGUUCAAGUCGCGUGUGAAAGCCCCCCGGCUCAACUGGGGAGGGUCACGCGAUACUGAUCGACUCGAAGGCAGGAGGAGGGUAGUCGGAAUUCCCGGUGUAGUGGUGAAAUGCGUAGAUAUCGGGAGGAACACCAGUGGCGAAGGCGACUACCUGGCCUGUUCUUGACGCUGAGGCGCGAAAGCUAGGGGAGCAAACGGG